rnacentral:rRNA from 1 species
UACGGAGGGUGCGAGCGUUGUCCGGAAUCACUGGGCGUAAAGGGCGCGUAGGCGGCGCGGGCAGUCAACGGUGAAAGCUCGGGGCUCAACUCCGAGUCGGCCGUCGAUACUCCCGUGCUCGAGCACUGUAGAGGCAGGUGGAAUUCCGGGUGUAGCGGUGGAAUGCGUAGAGAUCCGGAAGAACACCGGUGGCGAGGGCGGCCUGCUGGGCAGUAGCUGACGCUGAGGCGCGACAGCGUGGGGAGCAAACAGG